UACGUAGGGUGCGAGCGUUAAUCGGAAUUACUGGGCGUAAAGCGUGCGCAGGCGGGUUUGUAAGUCAGAUGUGAAAUCCCCGGGCUUAACCUGGGAAUGGCAUUUGGGACUGCAAGGCUGGAGUGCGGCAGAGGAGACUGGAAUUCCUGGUGUAGCAGUGAAAUGCGUAGAUAUCAGGAGGAACACCGAUGGCGAAGGCAGGUCUCUGGGCUGACACUGACGCUCAUGCACGAAAGCGUGGGGAGCAAACAGG
rnacentral:rRNA from 1 species